rnacentral:lncRNA from 1 species
UAAAAGGCAUAAAAAACUUAAGCUAAAAAUUUUUUUAGAGGGAAAAAUAUUCCAGGAAAAAUAAAAAAUGGUUAAAAACUUUGGAAAAACACUGUUGCAUUGAGUUUUUGGAGGAUUUCUUAAAUGUUCUUGGUGCUGGAAUAAUUUUUGAUUAUCUGAUAGUGGAAAUGAAUUAAGAUCAAUUCUGAGUCAAGGUUUUCUGGUCCAUUGCUUGGUUUGACAUCGUGCUUCUGGGAUAUUUUACCUCAUUUUGUGUUGAGCUGGUUUGACUUGGUUGAUUCUGCUACCCUGCUGCUUAUAGCUGACCUCUCAUUUUGUCAUUUUGCUUCCCAGGUAUUCCUCUAUUCACGAGCAACAAGUGCGUGCUAGCUAUGUAGCUCAAUGGAAGUUUGUCUGUUUCUCCUACUGUUUUUUAUGCCUUAUGGUAGAUUCCUAGCUAUAAGUGUCAACUAGUAUUCUCCUUUCAUUACAUGAUGUAUUCUGAAUCUAUAUGUGAGAGUAAGAUCUUCUGGACCUAAACGUGUGAAUAGAAUUAGAUAUGGGUUUAUAAUACUAAAUGGACUAUGGACUUUGGCACAUUCAGUUAUAUUUUGGUUUGAUGGUGUGGAUCAUUGAUCUCUGCUUAAUUCCUGCAGAAAAUCAGUUAUAUUCGGACCUUGUUUAUUUGCUAAGUAUUGGCAUGUGUAUAUAGUGAUUUACAUAGCCCCUAUUUUGGCAAUCAU